UUAAUAGUAAAAUCUGCUCAAUGAAUAUUAAAUAGCCGCAAUAAGUGCUAAGGUAGCAUAAUCAUUUGUCUUUUAAUUUGAGACUGGAACAAAAGAUUUAACAUUUUAAUUUAUUUAUUUUAUAUAAAAUUCCAAUUUAUCCUAAAAGUAAAAAGACUUUUAUUUUCAAGAAAGACGACAAGACCCUAUUGAACUUAACUUUAGUUUUACUGGGGCAGUAAAUUAAUUAUCAUUUUAAUAUAAAUAUUUAAAUAAAUAUCUAUUAAAAAUAAUAAUCCAGUUACCAUAGGGAUAACAGCGUUAUUAUUUUUUAAAGUUCUUAUUAUAAAAAUAGAUUACGACCUCGAUGUUGAAUUAAUAUACUAUUCAAAGCAAAUUUUAAAUUAGUAAGUCUGUUCGACUUUUAAUAAAUUACAUGAUUUGAGUUCAGACCGGUGUAAGCCAGGUCGGUUUCUAUCUUCUAUAAAAUUUCUUACAGUACGAAAGGACCUAAGAAUAUUUUUUAAUAAAUUGGCAGAUAAAUGCAUUAGAAUUAGAAUCUAAUAAAGUAUAAU
rnacentral:rRNA from 1 species